CUAGAAACCAACCCUGCAGGCACCUCCAUGUUGGACUUCUAGUUUCCAAAGCUGUGAGAAAGUGCAUAUCUGUUGUUUAAAUCAUCCAGCCUAAGUCCAGAGAGCCAAAUGAGUGUGGUGACGUUAUUUCCGGCCUCGUCAGCAUGUGUGUGAUCAACACGAUCACACAGAAGACCGCCGCAUCCAAGAAAGGAGCAAGGAACACAAAGACAUACUUCAGACUGAUUGAACAGAAGGCAAAAUUUUCAACGGACAUGAUAAUGCAACACUUCCAACAUGGAUACAUUUGUUAUAGGCCGAAAAGCUGCAUCAUAUAAUGAGUGAGUCCGUGAAACCAAGUCAAAAUGAUUUUCUGUAAAUUAACCAAACUGUUCUUGAAAAAGCUGGAUAGAUAUUUGAUCUUGUGGGUAUUUCCUAUUAUUCCUUGUGAUUAAGAUGAAACAUAUCACAUUUGCACAAGUAAAGAAACGUGUAUUU